GGGGGGAAAGAAGCCGAUGAAUAAUUUUGCUAUUUUUUAAAAUACUGGCCGCCAUCAUCAAGCAACGAGCAGCAGCAGAAGCGUUGAAGGGAGAGGAGGCAUCGGGACAGGCCCCUCUUAGAGAGGAUUUAUAUCUAGUUGGAAAAAAAAAAGAAAAGAAAAAGAAGAAAAAGAAGAAAAAAAUUGUCAAGCCCCCGAACUGAAGGUUACGAGCGGCCCGUCAGCAGCCCACAUGUAACCGAACUGUCGUGUUUCAUGGCUUUUUGCCACUCCAGCUGUCAAUCAAAGCCCGGAAUGUCAAGGUAGUGAAUGAAUGAUGGUUGAUGAUGAUGAAGAGGAGGAAUCUUUCAGACCCGUUUUUUUUCUUCCAGUAAAACUCCGCGAGGGGUUUCUGCUUCUUGAAUUUUUUCCUCCCCCCUCCCCCCUUUUAUAGCUUUGCCCCCGCGGUAUCGAUAAUAUGAUCCUCUCUCUUUAAAGUAUUGUUCAAAAAAAGCAGGGAGAAAAAUCAAGAAAAAAAAAUAUGAAUAGUUUGCAAAAAUUGGACUUCCUCCCCCCCCUUUCCUGGUAGGUAUUUUGUCUCUCCCUCUCUCUCUUUCUCGCUCGCUCGCUCGCUCUCACUCGCGCUCGCUCUCUCGCGCUCGCUCUCUCUCGCUCUCUUUCUCUCUGGGAGAUGAGUGAGUGUCAGUAGGUGUUGGCAGGUUGGCUGCUGCCUGGCUUAUUGAAGAGCCUCAGUUUGGCGGCGCGGGUCGGCGGCGGGAGAACGAAAUGACGGAACCCGGAAGUCGUGGUGGCCAUAGCCCGUCGUACGGCGGAGACACAUCCCGGGAGUGGGGAGCGGGAGCGAGGAGGAGCGCGCCGCGCAGUGCCUCUGAUAUGCAACGAGUGCGAUCGGACAGCCCGGGCUAGAGGGGCGGGGGAGGCGGGGGGCGGGAGGGGGAGGGGAGGCUCGGGCAGGGCGGACCCGAGCAAAUCAGCGAGCCUGCUUCUCCACGGGGUUGGGGGGCGGCUGGGGAAGGAAGGGGAGAGUGUGUAUGUGUGAGUGUGUGUGCGUGCGCGCGUGAGUGUGUUGUGCGCGCGCGCGCGAACAGGGAGAGAGGGAGAAGGGGAGAGAGAGAGAGCGGAGAGAAGAGGACAGGGAGAGCGCAGAGAGGAAAACUGCAGAAAACCACAGGGAAAGUACGGUACCGCCUCAGAUCUUUUCAUUUUUUAAAAAAACUUACUUCUAGUUCAUUUUCCCAUUACUCCCGGCUCCUGCCUAACUGGGUCGUGUCGGGCACGUUUUCAUGGCGCUCUCGCUUUUGUUCUUUUUAAUUCCGCGGCCUCCCUCUCUGCCCGCGGAUUACAGCACCCCGAAGGCUUCCUGCUAAGGUCCAAGGGCAGCAAGCUCUGCAGACGGUACCACUGCCGGGCUAAAUUUUUUAUUAAGUGGCACUUUCUUUUCUACGCAGAUCCAGCAACCUUAUCAAUACUCAUUUUUUCCAGAACCAGAAGAGACCAGCUUAACUCAGAGCACACUCCCUCCAAGCAGCGCGGACAAGGGGCCACCCCGAGAGUCUUUGGGGGCUCAGCAGCGUGGGGAGGGAGGAAAUGAGGAGCGAGUCAUUUGGGUCCGAUGUAGCCAAGGGCGUGUGUGUGUGUGUGUGUGUGUGUGUGUACGCGCGCGCGUGCGCGCGACUCAUGUGCGUCUCCGAAGUGGAUCUCACUCAGAGCUGGGAAGCACAGGAGGAAAAGACCGAGAGAGAAAAAGAGGGGGAGAAAGAAGUUGCCGGGCGAAGGAGGAGUGGCCGGCGCUCACAGCCCAGCUUUGUUGUGGUCGCCCGAGGCGCAGCGGCGGUAACGCCUGCUAAUGGCUGUGUUAAUUACACAAGGGCGAUUUCGCGGGGUCAGGGACUAGGGACCGGCUCCGUAAGAACUUUUCCAAAAAGGAAAAGAGGAGGAAAGGAAGAGAACUACUCCACACCAUAUGGGUGGAAACUAGCUGUGGCCGAUGCCUCGUCCUACUUGGCCGGAGCUGCACCAGGCUUUACCACUGCGCGGCUGGUUUCCCGGCGGCCGCGCGUCACUCACGCCGAGCCCUGAGCUGGGGGCGGAGCCACGGUCACCCCGCGCGCGCCGCGCAGCCCAGCAGCCCCCGCCGCCGCUCGGCCCCGGUGGCACGGCCCGGCCGGGACAGGAGCUGGAAGCGCACCCUCUCCUCAACUUCUAGCCAUCGCUCUCCCAGUCCCUGGCCCAGAGAGUCGAAAGCGGAUUGUUGUUCUCCAACAGCCGCGUCCUUCUUCAACUUUAAACCCAUCUGGGAAGUAGAGAGUAGAAUAUCUUCCGCGCGCCGCGUCUAUCAGACUUUCCCGCGGACGGAGGGUGGGGUGGGGAAGGUUGAUUAGAGAGAAUAAAGUACUCUGUGUGUGUGAGUGUGUGUGUGCGCGCGUGCGCGCGUGUGUGUGAGAAAGCGAGAGAGAGCGCGGGGAGGAGGGCUGGUGGGAGGGCUUUUUUUUUUUUUGCCCCCUUUCCAUCUUCCCUGCUUCACUGUAAGCUUUCGAGCAACGCAAACUAGGCUAAGAUUGCAGCCUGCGGAGACUCCAAGCAGAGUCGGCGAAAUUUGGCCUCGUUUUAAUAGGGCUGAGGAAUGAACUCCGGAGGUCAAUAAAGCCCUCCAAAAAUGAUGAAUGAUUGAGCACCUGUGAUGAUGAUAGUGAUUACCAGAGCAAUUAAACAGUUUGAUUAAAUGAGCCAUCAUAACAAUGAUGUCUGCGGGAAAUCGGCCCUCACAUAUAAAGAAAGAUAGUGCGAAGGGGCUGGCAGAGGCGCGGUUAGCGCGACGCCGGGGAGAGGGGCUGCGGGCCGUGAGGUUUCUGCCGGGUGGCCCGAGCAGGGACGGCCAAGCUCACGGAGCUUAAGGGAGGAGAAUGUAACCCAGGUUUUCAGCCACUGUUUUUGCCCGGCUUCAAGCCUGCUAGAGCCGACGGGUAGGAAAUCUGAACGUUGGGGGGAGGGUACUUCCUCCACCUCCUCUUUCUUUUCUAGAAGAACUCCACGAUUAAAAGUAUCCUUAUUUGUUGCUGAGUUGCUCGUCGACAUUUAAGAGAAGCCAUCUAUUACUUUUCAGACAUCCUUUCUCCAUAAACAUCGGCUUAUCCUUGUGAGCUGCCCUUGACCUUCCCAGCAGUGUAACCAGCAGCUCUGAAAGUUGGCCUACAAGUAAUUGCAUUGGCUUCCUCACCUGUUAACUUUACUCGCUCUUCCUAGCUGGGAUGAACAGAGGGAAGGGGACUUUUUUGUUUGCUUUUGUUGGUGUUGGUGGUGGUCGUGGUGGCUUUUGGUCCUUUGGUCCCUUCCCAGUUCAGGUUUCUACCGUAAAUUUUUCUCCACCUCCUCCCAUUAAUAACGUUUAAGCACCCCACAAUUUAUUUUUAAAAUAAAAUGGAGUAAAAUUAUUAGACAUUUUUUCUUUUGCCCAAUUUUCUUCUUAUUUCUCCCAAUUUUAGCUUCUUCACCAUCUCGCAGAAAGGAAUUCAAUAAAUAGCCCUCUAGCGCUAUCUGGCGGGACUCCAAACACAGCGUGCGCUCGCUCUUGCUGUUCCUCCUUCCCUCGCUCUCUUCCUUCCUCUCUCCUUCUUUUUCUUUCGUCUCUUCCGCUAUCUCGAUUGUUUUUCUCUCUUUUCUGUCCUCCUGCGGCCUCUUGUCUAGUUCCUACCCCAACUUGCAGCUCAGGCGGCUUGGAAAGACCCAGCCAGAGACUAGUAACCCUCACAACCGCGGGAUGCUCUGGCCACGGAGCUGUCUCUUCUGAUCCCUCCUCCCCUUACCCAACGCGGCUCACACACAUCCUUUGCCUUCGAUUAGCAUCUUGAAGUUGCAUAGCGUGUUGCUUAAGUCCCAGCGUCUCAGCUGGCGCUGGUUUGGAGGGGCUUAAAACCACAUUCGUGAAGUUUGGAGGAAAGAAAUCAGACACUGGAAUUCAGGGCUAGUGGAGCCCAGCUAAGUUUUAGGUCAGAAGGCCGAGUCUCAGUGCGAGUUUGAGGAAGGGUCGGGGCUUCACAGGGGUGGGAACAGCACGCCGCGGCGCCUAGCCUGCGAGAGGGAGUCGGACUGGGGGUGCGAGGGGUCCUCCACCGCCUCCGCCCAAUCCGUACCUCACAAUGGACCGCUCGAUUUUGUAUCUUAGGCCUGCUCAGGAUUGUUUUUUCCUUCAAUUAAUAAGCUUUAUCUUAUUUCCCCCUCCCCCCGUCUCCACCAAAUUUGGAGAGGAGAGGGUAAGAACUGGAAAACUCACAGGGCACAGAGAAACCAACGGUAAGACUGCGGGAGGCAGCGAGCGUGGGGAAGCGAUACUGAACUAUCUCCUCCCCAGUUCCUGCAAUUUGCAGGUCAUUGUCUUUCUUACUUGUGGCUUUUAUUCUUUUUUUUUUUUCUUUUUUUCCAGUAGCCUGUAAACAAGGUUGUGUAGGGAGGUCAGAGGGGAUAGGGCUGUGGGAGAGAUUCGAUUCAGACUAGAUGCUUUAGAUUUAGACUCGGCUGUAUCCAUACUUUCUUAAAAUUCUCCUGUGCGAGGGCUCUCCCUCUCCUUUCCUCCUCCUCCUCCGCCUCCUCCGCCUCCUCCUCCUCCGCCUCUUCUUCUUCUUCUUCUUCUUCUUCUUCUUCUUCUUCUUCUUUCUCUCUCUCUCUCUCUCUCUCUCACACACACACACACACACAGCCCGAGAGAAAAUUUCAAUCUUUGAGCAAAUCUCUUCCAUCUAGUCCUUGAAACAGAAGAAAGGACAUAGAAACUGAAGGAGAGUUAUGAUUGAAUUUUCUAAAAUUUAGUUUUGACUUUUCAAAGUAAAAGUGAGGACCAUAUUCCCAAUAUAGACCCAGAAGGUGGCUAUUUCAGGUGAGGGGACCUCAGCCUGUGACGUCUAUGAUCAACCAGACAAAGACCCCUUCCUAAAUCUGGAGUUCCACCCCGGACCCGUGGCAAAAAUGGAAUACAAGGGAGGGGAAGGAUGGCAAAAUAGCGGGUUCUGUUUUCCAAGAAUUGUCCCCCACCUCCAUUGCGGAAGGAAAAAAGCACAGUUCAGGUGUGAUUAAUUGGAGACUGUUAUUAGGUCAUCAUUAGCCAAGGUACAAAUAAUUGCAGCACAUUUUUACUUAAAAUUGACCAGCCCCAGAGUGAUAGAUCGAUUUGGAGUAUAAAAAUGAUGUAUCAAAACAUCAAUGUCGAUUAUUUGAAAUAUUGUAGUCGAAUUUUUUUUAUUGCUUCAUCGGUUAAGUGUCUGAAAGUGCAGUGUUCAAACAUAUAUUUAUGUUGUCAAUACUGUCAGAACUGUCAGUUUUACUAUACCAGAUUUGUACUAUAUUUCAAAUAUGCUCAUUUACAUAAAAUGCCCACCCUAGGAUUUCCCUCCCUACCCCCACCCCAUCUCUGGAAAAUCCGUGUCAGUUUCUUCAAAGGUUUCGGCAAUCUUUGCCUAAGCUAAAGUGUGCACUGCUUCUUUUACUCGAUUUUCCACAUCGGAUUACAUGUCUUUUUCACCAUCUCUAACUUUCAAAGAGAUCCUUCUUCCUUUCUCUCCAACUCUGCCUACUCUAACCUCUUCUCCAAAAUAGUAUUGAAACACUUGGAAAGCUUUGAAUUUAAAUAUCCACAUCCCAGCUCCAAAUAUACCAUUGGAAUAAAAAAAAACAAAAAAACGGAAAACCGGACUUGAGUACACUUGGCCGAACUCCGGUAAACCAGGCUUCGCCAGACAGACAUUCUCAUACGGUCAGGGUCCAUCAUCAAAUUAACUGGCAGAUUGAAAUCUUCCAGGGAAAAUGAAUUUGGAAAUAGAAAUACCUUUUCUUUCUUUUGACUUAAAAGCCUCGAUGGUAGAAAAAGAAAUAAUACUUACAAAUGAUCGGCACGUUUUAACUUUAAAAGCUUUUGAACUCAAGCGAAAGACACCAGUUGGAAGCAGAAUUGACAGUUUUAAUUUUACCCAUUUUCACCUGGCAUAUCAGAUCAGAGGCAAUCAUUUAUUUUAUGGGGUGUGGAGGGGAAAGGAAGAUAGAAUGCUAGAAUCCGCUGAAGUCUCUGUCCUACAAAUCUCAGAGAAAUUAGACUUACGGAAACACAAACAUUCCAUGGCUCCAUACUCUCAGUUCAGAUGAAUCGAAACAUAUAACUCCACAUUCUCCCCAAUUUUAUGUUAUUUAUUUAUUUUUUCAGGGUUUAAUAGGGAAGGCAGCCAAGUCUGAUAGGAAAGACAAGGCCACUCCUGGAUUAGCUGUGAGGAUGUGUUUUAAUUUCCAUAACACUGAAGCAGUUUCUGUAAACCUUUUGAUGUAUUUAAAUAAGUCUAUUUGGACAUUUAAAGAAGCUACACAUAUAAACAUAGCUUGGCUUUUUGCCGUCAAUCCCAGCAUUAAAAAACAUUCAUAAUCUAACUGAGCAGCUUUUUCAUAUCCAUCCUACUCUCAAAUAAAUAAAGAGAAGUGCAAACCAAAAGAAAGUUUCCAGCGUGCAUCUGUACGUCUUCGUGUGUGAGUUUAUAAACAACUUCCAGUCCGUACUGGGGUAUUACCUCCCUCCUGCCACACACCCCAAAGCAGAGGCAUGGAGGGAUUGCCCCCAGAGAGCUGUGUUUACUUAGGUUUUUUUUCCCCGCCGCCAUGUAUGACAAACGUUACUUCAAGAAAUUCAUCAGCCUUCUACAGAUACUUCCAGUUUUGCUGUAAUGAUCUGCAGAAGAGAACUGCCAUCACUUUCUCACAUCCCAAGGUGUUGCAGGAACUCAGAGAGAGGGGAGAGUGGCUGAAAGGCUUAAUUACCGGAGGCGAAGGAGGGGCGCGUGGCGGGGUACUGAAUUAGAGGGGAGUGAAGAAGGAAGGUCCUUUACUAAGCUUGUACCUGGGGAAAGCUUUGAGUCGCUUCUCUGCGAAUAUUUGGAAAAGGUAUUUUUAAAAUGCCUUUAAGGCAAAGUGAUACCCUUGUGUAAUAAUUAGCUCAGACAAUAAAAAUAAUUGGAAAAUCAGUUGGAAUUUCUGAGUUUUUAAUUACGUUUAAUUUUGUACUAAGCCGUAAAAUUACGAAUGCCCCUCAAUUAAACACUCUCCCCUUGUAAAGCAUUUAACAACAAUUAUUCCUUAAUCAGUCUGAAUGUGAGUCACAAAUGGUGCUUUUCCACAUCAAAGGGACGUCCUUCCACGUUACCUUUUAGUCAUAAGUAAGAGGAUUAAUUCCUAUAAUUAAAGGGAUAAAUAUGUGCAUAAAUAUAUCUCUCACCCUCUCCUUAAAAAACAAAACAAAACACUUUCACUCUGUGUGAUACGUGGCCGGCUAUGGUAGGAUAAGUGUUUUUAAUUGUCUGUCUCUGCCCGGCAUCCCUAUGCUGACGAGUGACUGGAACGGAGGAGACGCCGCGCAAAGCGCAGGGCCCCAGAGGGACACAGGCGCACACACGGGUCAGACGAGGCGCAGAGCUCGGGCCCGGGACUCCACCAAUUGCAGUGCGAUCCUCCCGGGACAGUAACCCACCUCCCAUCUUGCCCCUGCCCUGCGCAGCAAGAGAGUUGUCUCCCUCUCGGUCAGCUUGUCCACAAGAGCCGGGUCCCUGCCCUAAGCCCCAGCUCCAGGUUGACUCUUCAGGCUACAAAUAAAAAUUGAGCGUGACCUUUUAAAACUCCCGUGUGAAUAUCUCAUUUACCUAAUGACUUUAUGUCACCUAGGAAGAAGGUCAAUUUCCUCUUAACCUUUUCCCCGCUGCUGCAGUAAGCAUUCUUCCCUAAUCAAUGGUGGCUGGAAUAAUCAAUUCCCAUUUUAUGAUCGCUGACAAACUCAAUCUCAGGGCGGGGUGUGAGAGCGGGGUUGGUGGGGCAGGCUCGGGCCGGGACAGAGGUCUCUCAGCGAACGCCCAGCUCCGCCCGGCGCCAAGGGAAGCCGCUGUCUCUUCCGUCGAGUUCUGAGACCUUGGCAAACUUCCCUCCCCCAACCGCCGGCGUGACUUCUGAGUUGUCACUAAUCCGAACCUGAUAUUCACCAGAGCUCCUUCGGUCACCGACAACGCUCCCCGCUGCUGCGGCGGCCUCCCGCCCGCCCUCCUCGGCGUGUUUUCAUUUCAAAGUCUGCGGGCAGGGAUUGCCCCGACCCAGUGUGUGCCUGUGCGCGCGCGCGCGAACGCGCGCGUGUGUGCGUGGUUUCAUUUAAAUUUUAAAAAUCAUUUUUGCCUUCUUCAGCGAGUAUCUCAGCACUUUCUCCGUGUCUCAGGCUGACUAACUUUGCAUAAACAAAACAACAACAGAAGCUCAUAGUGGGUGAAAUCCUGCGGGGGAAAUGAAGACAACC